rnacentral:rRNA from 1 species
UACAGAGGGUGCAAGCGUUGUUCGGAAUUAUUGGGCGUAAAGCGCGUGUAGGCGGCUUUGCAAGUCGGGUGUGAAAGCCCUCAGCUCAACUGAGGAAGUGCGCCCGAAACUGCAGAGCUUGAGUACCGGAGAGGGUGGCGGAAUUCCCCAAGUAGAGGUGAAAUUCGUAGAUAUGGGGAGGAACACCGGUGGCGAAGGCGGCCACCUGGACGGCCACUGACGCUGAGACGCGAAAGCGUGGGGAGCAAACAGG